rnacentral:rRNA from 1 species
GACGAACGCUGGCGGCGUGCCUAAUACAUGCAAGUAGAACGCACAGUUUAUACCGUAGCUUGCUACACCAUAAACUGUGAGUUGCGAACGGGUGAGUAACGCGUAGGUAACCUGCCUGGUAGCGGGGGAUAACUAUUGGAAACGAUAGCUAAUACCGCAUAACAUUGAUUAUUGCAUGAUAAUUGAUUGAAAGAUGCUAUUGCAUCACUACCAGAUGGACCUGCGUUGUAUUAGCUAGUAGGUGAGGUAACGGCUCACCUAGGCGACGAUACAUAGCCGACCUGAGAGGGUGAUCGGCCACACUGGGACUGAGACACGGCCCAGACUCCUACGGGAGGCAGCAGUAGGGAAUCUUCGGCAAUGGACGAAAGUCUGACCGAGCAACGCCGCGUGAGUGAAGAAGGUUUUCGGAUCGUAAAGCUCUGUUGUAAGAGAAGAACGGGUGUGAGAGUGGAAAGUUCACACUGUGACGGUAUCUUACCAGAAAGGGACGGCUAACUACGUG